CUCGAACAGCUUCCAACUCCAAAUAUAGAUCUAGAAACUGUUAGAACAAAUACCAUAAAGAAAUCUGAUUGUGAUUAAAAUUUAACUAAUUUUAAUCAAAAAAACAAAUCAAACUUAUAGAUAAACACAAAUAUUUCAAUAAAAAUUUGAUUUUAUCUGGAAGCAUGUGAGACAGUUCCCUAAGACGUAUUCCCGUCUUUACGUGAUUCUGUCGGAAAUAACACCCUAAGGUACGACCGGAAUUCCUCCUCCUACGAGCACGAUCGUAAAAAGGUUGACGAAGAUUUUUUUCAACACCCAGUAGAUAAGAAAAAAUAUUAGAAGAUAAAGUGAUAAAUAGAUGAGGAUUAAGCAAUUAUCUCAUAUCUUUCUUAAGAGAGGAGAGAAAAAGAGAUAAUAUAUAAAAAGGAGAAUUUACGUUACGAGAAAGAGCAACGGAAUGGAAUUUUUUUUUUACGCAAGAAACGGAACAGGAAAAAUAU
rnacentral:lncRNA from 1 species